rnacentral:rRNA from 1 species
GACGAACGCUGGCGGCGUGCCUAAUACAUGCAAGUUGAGCGCUGAAGGUUGGUACUUGUACCAACUGGAUGAGCAGCGAACGGGUGAGUAACGCGUGGGGAAUCUGCCUUUGAGCGGGGGACAACAUUUGGAAACGAAUGCUAAUACCGCAUAAAAACUUUAAACACAAGUUUUAAGUUUGAAAGAUGCAAUUGCAUCACUCAAAGAUGAUCCCGCGUUGUAUUAGCUAGUUGGUGAGGUAAAGGCUCACCAAGGCGAUGAUACAUAGCCGACCUGAGAGGGUGAUCGGCCACAUUGGGACUGAGACACGGCCCAAACUCCUACGGGAGGCAGCAGGAGGGAAUCUUCGGCAAUGGACGAAAGUCUGAACGAGCAACGCCGCGUGAGUGAAGAAGGGUUUCGGAUCGUAAAACUCUGUUGGUAGAGAAGAACGUUGGUGAGAGUGGAAAGCUCAUCAAGUGACGGUAACUACCCAGAAAGGGACGGCUAACUACGUG